AUGAACGCUGGCGGCGUGCCUAAUACCUGCAAGUCGAGCGCACAGACGAGGAGCUUGCUCCUCUGACGUUAGCGGCGGACGGGGGAGUAACACGUGGAUAACCUACCUAUAAGACUGGGAUAACUUCGGGAAACCGGAGCUAAUACCGGAUAAUAUAUUGAACCGCAUGGUUCAAUAGUGAAAGACGGUUUUGCUGUCACUUAUAGAUGGAUCCGCGCCGCAUUAGCUAGUUGGUAAGGUAACGGCUUACCAAGGCAACGAUGCGUAGCCGACCUGAGAGGGUGAUCGGCCACACUGGAACUGAGACACGGUCCAGACUCCUACGGGAGGCAGCAGUAGGGAAUCUUCCGCAAUGGGCGAAAGCCUGACGGAGCAACGCCGCGUGAGUGAUGAAGGUCUUCGGAUCGUAAAACUCUGUUAUUAGGGAAGAACAAAUGUGUAAGUAACUAUGCACGUCUUGACGGUACCUAAUCAGAAAGCCACGGCUAACUACGUG
rnacentral:rRNA from 1 species